AUUGAACGCUGGCGGCAGGCCUAACACAUGCAAGUCGAGCGGAUGAAGGGAGCUUGCUCCUGGAUUCAGCGGCGGACGGGUGAGUAAUGCCUAGGAAUCUGCCUGGUAGUGGGGGAUAACGUCCUGAAACGGGCGCUAAUACCGCAUACGUCCUGAGGGAGAAAGUGGGGGAUCUUCGGACCUCACGCUAUCAGAUGAGCCUAGGUCGGAUUAGCUAGUUGGUGGGGUAAAGGCCUACCAAGGCGACGAUCCGUAACUGGUCUGAGAGGAUGAUCAGUCACCCUGGAACUGAGACACGGUCCAGACUCCUACGGGAGGCAGCAGUGGGGAAUAUUGGACAAUGGGCGAAAGCCUGAUCCAGCCAUGCCGCGUGUGUGAAGAAGGUCUUCGGAUUGUAAAGCACGUUAAGUUGGGAGGAAGGGCAGUAAGUUAAUACCUUGCUGUUUUGACGUUACCAACAGAAUAAGCACCGGCUAACCUCGUG
rnacentral:rRNA from 1 species